ACAGGUCUUCAGUCAAGGGUAUACAAGUAGCUGCGAUCCCCUGCUAGAACCUCCAAACAAGUUCUCAAGGUACAUUGUAGUAAUGUAGGGUAGUAAAGC
rnacentral:sRNA from 14 species